CGUUGAUAACCAGCACGGGCGCGGAGAUUUCUCCCCGCCCGUGCACGCAUGUUAAGGGCAGGAA
rnacentral:sRNA from 1 species